AUUGAACGCUGGCGGCAGGCCUAACACAUGCAAGUCGAGCGGAUGAAGGGAGCUUGCUCCUGGAUUCAGCGGCGGACGGGUGAGUAAUGCCUAGGAAUCUGCCUGGUAGUGGGGGAUAACGUCCGGAAACGGGCGCUAAUACCGCAUACGUCCUGAGGGAGAAAGUGGGGGAUCUUCGGACCUCACGCUAUCAGAUGAGCCUAGGUCGGAUUAGCUAGUUGGUGGGGUAAAGGCCUACCAAGGCGACGAUCCGUAACUGGUCUGAGAGGAUGGUCAGUCACACUGGAGCUGGGACACGGUCCAGACUACUACGGGAGGCAGCAGUGGGGAAUAUUGGACAAUGGGCGAAAGCCUGAUCCAGCCAUGCCGCGUGUGUGAAGAAGGUCUUCGGAUUGUAAAGCACUUUAAGUUGGGAGGAAGGGCAGUAAGUUAAUACCUUGCUGUUUUGACGUUACCAACAGAAUAAGCACCGGCUAACUUCGUG
rnacentral:rRNA from 1 species